CAGGGCUUUCGUCUUGUAAUUGGAAUGAUGGUGAUGUACAACCUCACCAGAGUACCAAUUGGAGGGCAAGUCUGGUGCCAGCAGCCGCGGUAAUUCCAGCUCCAAUAGCGUAUAUUAAACUUGUUGCAGUUAAAAAGCUCGUAGUUGUAUUUCAGCCUCGCGUUUUUUCCCACUUUUUGGGUCUUUUCGCUGGCUUUCUUUUUACUUUGAGAAAAUUAGAGUGUUUCAAGCAGACUUUUGUCUUGAAUACUUCAGCAUGGAAUAAUAGAGUAGGACCUUGGUUCUAUUUUGUUGGUUUUGAGCCUUGGUAAUGGUUAAUAGGAACGGUUGGGGGCAUUCGUAUUUAACUGUCAGAGGUGAAAUUCUUAGAUUUGUUAAAGACGAACCACUGCGAAAGCAUUUGCCAAGGACGUUUUCAUUAAUCAAGAAC
rnacentral:rRNA from 1 species